rnacentral:tRNA from 1 species
CCAGCCAUAGCUCAGUUGGUAGAGCGGAGGACUGUAGAUGAAACAUGCAGCAAUCCUUAGGUCGCUGGUUCGAAUCCGGCUGGCUGGA